GAGCGGCGAACGGGUGAGUAACACGUGGGCAACCUGCCCUGCACUCUGGGAUAAGCCCGGGAAACUGGGUCUAAUACCGGAUAUGACCCUUGAUCGCAUGAUCGAGGGUGGAAAGUUCCGGCGGUGCAGGAUGGGCCCGCGGCCUAUCAGCUUGUUGGUGGGGUAGUGGCCUACCAAGGCGACGACGGGUAGCCGGCCUGAGAGGGCGACCGGCCACACUGGGACUGAGACACGGCCCAGACUCCUACGGGAGGCAGCAGUGGGGAAUAUUGCGCAAUGGGCGAAAGCCUGACGCAGCGACGCCGCGUGAGGGAUGACGGCCUUCGGGUUGUAAACCUCUUUCAGCAGGGACGAAGCGCGAGUGACGGUACCUGCAGAAGAAGCACCGGCUAACUACGUGCCAGCAGCCGCGGUAAUACGUAGGGUGCGAGCGUUGUCCGGAAUUAUUGGGCGUAAAGAGCUCGUAGGCGGUUUGUCGCGUCGACUGUGAAAACCUACAGCUUAACUGUGGGCUUGCAGUCGAUC
rnacentral:rRNA from 1 species